rnacentral:rRNA from 1 species
UACGUAGGUGGCAAGCGUUGUCCGGAAUUAUUGGGCGUAAAGCGCGCGCAGGCGGCCUUUUAAGUCUGAUGUGAAAGCCCACGGCUCAACCGUGGAAGGUCAUUGGAAACUGAAAGGCUUGAGUACAGAAGAGGAAAGCGGAAUUCCACGUGUAGCGGUGAAAUGCGUAGAGAUGUGGAGGAACACCAGUGGCGAAGGCGGCUUUCUGGUCUGUAACUGACGCUGAGACGCGAAAGCGUGGGGAGCGAACAGG